rnacentral:lncRNA from 1 species
AAGGCCCAAGCUAAAGGUAAUGAAAAUAUUUAAUUAUGUCAACUAUAAACGGAAACAAUGCAGAAUUUAUGGUUUACAUUCUUUGCACAGUAAAUCAGAAUGUCCAAUAGAAUUAUGAAAAUGUCCCCUUAUAGUCAUCUAUAGUACUGGAAUAAAUGGUUAAAAUAAAAUAAAAUAAAAUAAAAAUUCUAUAGAGUUAACCUCUGCUGGGCAACUCUGAUGGGGUCCGGGAGAUAACCUCUAUUUGCAACACUCCUCCUAUUUAGGAUCUGGAUUUUAGACUUUUUCAUCUAAAAUAGUUAAAUAAAGGAAUAAACUACACUACCCCAGUAAGAAUAUCAUACUUAUCACCGAUACAGAAAAUCAAAAAUUGGUAAAAAAAUCAUAAAAUAACUAAUGAAGCCAUUUACUUUCUUAAAUAAAUUUAUUUAACAUAAAAAUUGUUACUCCAUACUUACUCUUAUGAGUUUCCAAAAUCGACCUAUAAAAACAAUAAUUCGAAUAUCAUUUUUGUUACACAUUUACAUGAACAAUCAAUAGUAAACUUAUCUCCUUACUUACUUAUCGGUACCUUUGGGGGUCCAUAGAGAUGUCUCUCUACGCAUGGAUCAAAUAUCCAACUUGUCAAUUAACUAGCCAUCUCAAUAUCCCGUUCGAUAAUGAGCGCCAAACAUACUACCGC